AUACGGUUCGGCAACCAGUCAGAAGAUCUGUGGUCGAGUAUUGAAGAUCGACACGUGGAGAAGUAGCAAGCCAUCCGCGAUUCUUUGGAAAAUCAAGAAGCUCUGUCUGCGUGAUUUACGGCAUCAUGGGAGACCAUAUACACGGCAAUGAUAGGUGUAGCCCACUCAGCGGUGAACAUCAGAAUGUAGGCACAUGGUUGGAAAUCAGAUAAUGGUUUCCGAGCAGGCUACUUAAUAGGAAUUGAGGAAUGUCUGAAACGUGAAUUUCCUACCAUUGAUAUUAAAGCGGAACCACACAUUAAGUCAAAAAUCACAGCAUGGAAGAAGAACUAUUACUCUCUCUCAACUAUCCUAGCUCGUAGUGGGGUGGGAUUCAACGCACAUAAUGACUUUAAGAUCGACUGUGAUGAUGAACAAUGAGCUCAAAUCGUUCAGAAGGAUGGCAAUGCGAAGUACAUGCAGAACAAAGCUUGGCCACAUUGGGACAGCUGGAAUGAGAUUUUGGCAAGGAGCGCGCAGGUGGUGGAAAGGCACUCGAUUCUGCCAAGACUGUGAACAAAUUGCCCUCUGUGCAGCGCAAUGAACAAGAGAACUAAUUACCCGAUGAGCUUUGAGGAGCUCUUUUCAAAUGAAGUUCUCCCAGAAGGUAUGAAUCAUGACGUCGAUUCAGGAAGUAAUACCAAUGUCCCCAAUGUUUCCAAUGUCCCCAGUGUUCACAAUGUCCCAAAUGUCCCAAAUGUGCAUGUUGUCCCCAAUGUUCCCAACACCCCGAAAGGAAGCAAGUAGGAAACGCAAAGGAAUCGACCCGAUGGAUAAAUUGAUUGACUUGAUGAAGCAAAUAUGCAUGAAGACACUAAUGAACAUUUGAAGACAUUGUCAACACGUAUUGGUUAUGAUUUUGAUCUCAGCGCCAAACGGGCUGAGAUUUUCAAUCAACUUGGUGUUGGGUCGGGUCUCACUUUGAAGCAUAAAUUCUUUGUUGGUCAGAAGCUGGUUAAGGAACCUGAGUUGAGGGAUCUCUUCUGAGGGCUUCCUGAGAUCGCACGCCCAGAGUAUGUGAUGUUCCUCUUGGAGAAGGAAGGACUCAUCUAAUUCCCAAGAAGUUGGUUUAGACUAUUUUGUGCAGGAAAGCCUUUUGUGUAAUAUAUAUUACAUGCAAUUUUUUGUGGAUAUUUCUUAAC